rnacentral:rRNA from 1 species
GACGAACGCUGGCGGCGUGCCUAAUACAUGCAAGUCGAACGCUGAAGGAGGAGCUUGCUUCUCUGGAUGAGUUGCGAACGGGUGAGUAACGCGUAGGUAACCUGCCUGGUAGCGGGGGAUAACUAUUGGAAACGAUAGCUAAUACCGCAUAAUAGUAGAUGUUGCAUGACAUUUGCCUAAAAGGUGCAAUUGCAUCACUACCAGAUGGCCCUGCGUUGUUUUAGCUAGUUGGUGGGGUAACGGCUCACCAAGGCGACGAUACAUAGCCGACCUGAGAGGGUGAUCGGCCACACUGGGACUGAGACACGGCCCAGACUCCUACGGGAGGCAGCAGUAGGGAAUCUUCGGCAAUGGACGGAAGUCUGACCGAGCAACGCCGCGUGAGUGAAGAAGGUUUUCGGAUCGUAAAGCUCUGUUGUAAGAGAAGAACGAGUGUGAGAGUGGAAAGUUCACACUGUGACGGUAUCUUACCAGAAAGGGACGGCUAACUACGUG